UACAGAGGGUGCGAGCGUUGUCCGGAAUCACUGGCGUAAAGGGCGCGUAGGUGGCUCGCUAAGCGUGCGGUGAAAGCCCGGGCUCAACCCCGGGUCGGCCGUGCGAACUGGUGAGCUCGAGCACUGUAGAGGCGGGUGGAAUCCGGGUGUAGCGGUGGAAUGCGUAGAGAUCCGGAAGAACACCGGUGGCGAAGGCGGCCUGCUGGGCUAUGGCUGACACUGAGGCGCGACAGCGUGGGGAGCAAACAGG
rnacentral:rRNA from 1 species